AUAGAAAAAAGGGAACUUGGAAGUUCAGUCAACAACUUCAUCGUCUCUCACUCAUAGACCAACUGGACCACUCUGUUCGUCUCACCAAGGCCUGGUCAUGAUGUCUAAUACAACUUGUCUCUAUGCAAACUCUACCACAGACUGCCUAGACCCAGCUUCUUUUGGUUUUUCUGUGAGAUAUGCUGUGGGUCUUCCUCUGUUCUUCAUAGUUCUGGGAGUAGUGAUUGCGCUGAUCUAUACCAAGCGCAGUAAAUUUAGGAAUAUGUGGCAGUUAGAUCAACUCAAGAGCACAGAGGUCAACACACGUCAGCUUGAGGGUUCCCAAUACACGGCCAUGGUCAGACCACCACCCGCUGAUCAUAGCCCUAUCUACGAGAACUUCACUGACUCCAACAAGACAAUCAUCAACAUGAACAGGUCACCCGUUCAACCUGAGGACGUAUAUCUGCAGUGUGAUUUAUCCGAUGAUGCAAUUUACAGCAACGACAUGUCCUGUAGCCUGGCCAUACUGCCUCCUGACACUGAGGAGGAAGAUAUUUAUAUAAUGCCAGAUGUUCUAUAGUUACAGCCAUAAAGAUGACCCUAUUCAAAUCCAAACAGUCAUAUUUUUGUAGGACAGGAAGAGGAAUCAAAGGAGCCAAUAUGUUCUGGUGGUUUUAUGUUUUAUCCACCUCUGAAGGAAACUUGGCCAUAUUGACAAAAACAGUUGUCUUAAUUAGAAUAUUUUGCUUUGUUUUACAGACUAAAAAGUAUGUUAUUAUGUUAUUGUACAUAUUUUAGUAAGUGCCUGCUAGGUUCAGCACAGUGCAACAACGUUUUGGGGCAAAUUUAAAUAUAAGUAGCAGUUUAGCCCAAAAUGUAAAACAUUUUUACAGUGAACUUUUUCACUCUGUAGUUAGGGAGAAGUCGAAAUUUACCCAAUUGUUACCCAGAGGGGCGUGUUGCCUAAAAGAUUGGCUGUGCUGUGUACACUGCCACUUCAGGAGGCGAGUCAAAGAAUUCUUCCCCCCCAUUAUGGGGCCCAUUAUGGGGUAUUGUGUGUAGGACAAUGACAAAAAGUCUUCUCCAUUUUAAAUUCAGGCUGUAACACAACACAAUGUGGAAAAGUCAAGGGGUGUGAAGACUUUCUGAAGGCACUGUAUAGCAGUCUUGUUGACAGGUCUCGAGAACGGUCUGGAGCCCACAUAUUGAGUGUCUCGGUGUUGUCUCGGUGUAUAAUACAUUUGGACUCGGUCUUGACUCGGUCUCGGACAGUGAGGACUCAUAAAUAGUUGCCUAGACCAAUGGAGUAAAAAAAACUCCUAAUUACCAGCUUCCAUUCAGUCCAGUGUUGCGAUUGUGUUUUUUUUUUGCCAAAAUUAGUCAACUUUAAAAACGAUGUUGCGGGUGAAAAUGUAUUGGUCGCGGGUGCCAGAUUUUUGGCGGUACUUCUAAAUUGCACCGCGACCGCCAUGGCAUUUCUCUUAAAAAUAUAUACAUAUAUUUCACUGUGACCUGCUGCCUCUGACUAUCAGGCAGUGAGCAGGCUGUAACUGAGUGAGUGAGUCAGUGAGUGAGCAUGUGAAUGGGGGAGAGGGAGAGGGCCAAAGGGGUGCGUGUGUGCUUUGAGAGAGUGCUGCAGCAGAGUAAGCUGAGUCACGGAGACAGAGCAGCACCAGUGCACUUUGUGACCACUGUUUACCAGUUGUAGGUAGGCUAUUUAGGUUGGUCAUUAUGGAGGCACACCUUUUCCAUAAAACAUAUAUUAACACGCUAGAACCGCAACAAAGCAUUGGAAAACGACUUUAGGGGCACUAGAGCUGUUUAGAUAAGUUUGCUCAGAGGUGGUUUAAAGUAAACUGCAUUCUUUAAUGUCAGUUUCAUUGUGGACUUUUCCCUGAAAUGAUAUGUUGGCAUGUUGGCCUAUCAUGGGCUAUAGACUACCUGCAUCUAUCUCAGUAAACCAUGGCAAAGUUUAAUUGCAGUUAUAAACCCAGAUUUUAGUCAGUAGCCUAUGCCUAUUGAAAUAACAAGUCAAUCGACUAAGGGAUAUGUCCUAAGAACAGUCAUUAGUCAUGGUAAAUUGUACCACACCUCCUUGGGCUUUCUUGCUUAAUCAUAAUCAUAAUCAAAACAAUCGACAUCUAUUGAGGGAAAAUUAUCUGGAGAGUUUAAUAAGGGAGAUUUAUCUUUUCUCUUGUGAUAUAUUCUUAAACUCGCAAUAAUUAUUAUUUUGAUGGAAAAACUAAUUGAGCUUUUUCGUCGUAAAAAAUAAAGUCAAUAUUCCUUCUUAAUUCAAUCGAUAACAUUAUGGAAAAAGUGUUUAUUGGAUAAAUGUGGCAAGUCCUCUUUUGCUGCAAAAAAUUAUUUGGCCAGGUUUUCCGAGGUCAUUGGGCGAGAAAUUUUAGCCAGACCUGGCAACCCUGAUUCAGUCAGGGCAUAAAACCACUUCGCUUGGCCAAAUAUAUACACUCCUUUCUCAGAACAUUAAUAUCUUAACAUCCUUAUCUAUUAUAGACAUGUUUGCACACUGGUGAACCUAUAGGCCUUCAGUGUGUGACAGGUUUGUGAUUCAGUGGUGUAGUGGAGGGUAUAUGCAGGUAUAAACCCAACACAAUCUCACACUCAAUUCAUGCAAAUAUGUACAAAUAGAAUUUCAGCAGAUUUUGUGUGUUAUUGUGUGGCUUAAUUUGUGUGAAAAGACACACAUUUUUGUGUGACUUAUUAGAGCAAUGCAUGAUGGUGUUGGUGCAUGAUGGUGUUGGUGCAUGAUGGUGUUGGUGCAUGAUGGUGUUGGUGCAUGAUGGUGUUGGUGCAUGAUGGUGUUGGUGCAUGAUGGUGUUGGUGCAUGAUUGUGUUGUUCUACACUGCCUUUUUUUUGUGUCCCACAUUUAUUAAUAUAAAAAACAAAUGUGUUAACAACCCAAUCUUUUUAAUCAACCAGGUUGUCACCUAAAUAAUUGCAAUAUAAUACUAGCCUUGUUUUUUAAAUUUGUUAAAUUAAUGCCAAUGCUGUUUUCUAUGCUUGUUUUCACAUAAUACUUUGGAAUACUUGUGCUAUGUCGGAUUUUAUGAGGGUCGCCAAAUUGGAGUAUAAAGCUUUAUUUGUCUGUUUUUGUUUUGUGGUAUCAAUGAAGGUAUUUGAUUGUGUUUUUUCAGUGGCGUACAGUAUACUCACUUCUUAAUCCCUACUGAUGUGUAUCGAAGUAGUGUAGUGGAGGUAUACGACUUAUCAAUUAUGUAGUACAAUAGGGAAACCAUGCACAAAGUAGGCUACACAAUCGCAAAGCAUGUGAAAAUGCUCGCCACAAACAACCUAGGUUUCAGCUGAAUAUCAUCUGCAGGCAGCAAGAGUGUGCAGCUCUCAGCUGGUUUUGGCAUAGAGCAGCUCACAGAAGAAUGACAUCGGUAGCCGGUAGGGUAGGAAAAACGUUUCAACUUAUGAUAUCAGCCAGUAAAUGCUAACUAGGGCAACAAUGGAUAUGCAAACCAUGUAUUGAAAAAGUUUAGUCCAAAGUGUUGGUCAGUUGGCUGUUUUUGAUGCUCAAUUAACAUCAUGUACUGUUUGCAUCAGGGGCGUAGACAUGGAUGGGCCUGGGUGGACAGAGGCCCACCCACUGGGGAGCCGGGCCCUGACAGGCCCACCCAAUCAGAUUGAUGUGGUUUGUGGAUGUGGCAUUGUUGUGGACACAUCAAAUAUGUGUAUUUUUUUUAUAAAAAAAAAAGUGAUAUUUUGAGAGUGAAAAUCUAAAUCUAUAGGAAAAUCUAUAGGAAAACUGAAAGGACGAGGAGCCUACAAUUCCCCAUCUUGUUGAUGUGCAUAACUGAGGGAGAGAGUCUACCUUUUCAUGGUUGUUACAUCAAUAAGACUGUAAAGUUCCCAUUUGUAAGAGAACUUCUGUGGUGUUUACAUAUUAUCAGAAAUCCAUUCUGGUCUAUUUUGUGGCUUUUGGGGAAUGCAUUCUAAUGAUCUAAAGUCACGCUGUUGCAACUGCCUGUAAACACACAGUCCAGUUCAAAGUGAGUGAUGGCAGGCCCUACUGCCUGUAAACACACAGUCCAGUUCAAAGUGAAUGAUGGCAGGCCCAUGUGGCAAAUGGCUUGUUUGUAUAAAGGCCUACUGUAGCUCUGUUCGGCUAUAGCACACCGGUCUGUGAAGACUCCGGUCCUGGACAAGACAGAUGUUUUAUUCUGUUUUAUUUACUGUAGUGUAACGGCCACUUUCGCACGGACGUUUUCCCACUCUAUAUUGCUAGAGAAUUUUCACAAAUGGCUUAGUAUACGUAAUUCCCAAACGUUCUAAAAAAAAUGUAAAAAGUGGAAAUGACCAUAUCUAAGCAGUGGUGUAAAGUACUAAAGUAAAAAUACUUUAAUGUACUACUGAAGUAGUUUCUUUACUUUACUUUGCUAUUUAUAUUUUUGACAACUUUUACUUCACUACAUUCCUAAAGAAAAGGUUGUACUUUUUACUCCAUACAGUUUCCCUGACACCCAAAAGUACUUGUUAUAUUUUGAAUGCUUAGCAGGACAGGGAAAUUGUCCAAUUGACGCACUUAUCAAGAGAACAUCCCUGGUCUUCACAACUACCUGAUCUGGCGGAUUCACUAAACACAAAUGCUUUGUUUGUAAAUUAUGUCUGUUGGAGUGUGCCCCUGGCUAUCUGUCAAUAAAAAACAAGAGAAUUG